UGUUCGUUUACAAUUUAAACCGAAACAGAGCAAAUUAUAUUAUACACAUCGAGGGUUCUUUCCCCUUCCUCUCGAGUUCCGCCGCGCCGCACCCAAACGUUUGUCUUUCUCAGAGACACUCUUCGCCGUUUUGAAUUUGCCCUGAACCAACUCUGGAGAAACAAAGUUUUGUAUCUGCAGAUUAUUUUUGAAGGCAAUAUCUGAGUAAAAGCAAAGGAAUGAUGGAUACUGUUUCAUUGGUAACAAUUCCAGAAACUGGUGUUACACUACAUAUAGACCCAACUAAAGAAGGUUCACUACCAGAUGCAAAUAUGGAUGGUUCCAGUAGGAAAAAACCGAAAAGAAGAAAGAAGAAGAAGAAGGAAGAGGAAGCUUUGUGUGUAGAAGAGAAGACGUUGGACGUUGUAGAAAAAACCACCGAAGAAGAUCAACUGCAUCCACCCAAGAAUCCUUUGUCAAACAUUAGAAUACAAGAAGAUUCAAGCCACCAAGGUCAAGAUUCAUGUGAAAAGCCUGAAGAUUCGCAGUCAGGUGCUGUUGAUAUGUCUUCUUCUGAGAGAAAGAAGAAAAGGAGAAAGAAAAAGAAAAGCAAUGAUAUAAAUGCACUGAGGGAGAGUGGCGUUGAUACCAGUUCGCUGGUUACUAUGGAAUGCGAUGCUAGGCACAGUUCUGAAGCUCAAGGAUCGAAAUUGAAGACUACAAAGGAAAAAAAUGGUGAUGGUACUGUGGAUAAACAAAAGGGAGCAGAUGCUGAAGCUGAUGAUACUGUGUCCGAAACUCAGAAUCCUAAAGUCAAGAAAAAGAAGAGGAGAAAGACCAAAACAACGGAGGUACGCGAGGCAGUAGAAGAUACUCUAGCAACCUCCAUGGAAAGUGGGCCAGUGGAGUGUAUGGAAACUGCAAGUGUAUGUGAAGUAAAGAGCAAAACACGGAAGAGAAAGAAGAAGAAAACGUCAUUGUCAGAUCAGGAAACUGCAGAUAUGGAGGUCUGUGAUCCAUCAGAAAAUACUCUAGCAACCUCCAUGGAAAGUAGGCCAGUAGAGUGUAUGGGAACUGCAAGUGUAUGUGAAGUAAAGAGCAAAAAACGGAAGAGAAAGAAGAAGAAAACGUCAUUGUCAGAUCAGGAAACUGCAGAUAUGGAGGUCUGUGAUCCAUCAGAAAAUACUUUACCAGGCACCAUAGAGAGUGCAUCAGUAGAGUGUUUGUUGGAUCAUUCAAACAAAGAAGUUUUGGAAAAUUGUGAUAAGAAUGCUGGACAAGAGUUAGUGGCCGAGAAAGAGACAAAAGAUGAAAUUGGUGAACCUAAACAAAAGAGGAAGAAGAAAAAGAAGAAAGAGUCUUGUGAACUAAGUGAGGAAGUUAGUGAACCCAAACAAAAGAAGAAGAAGAAGAAGAAAAAGUCUUGUGAAGAUGACAAAACUGACAAUAUGGAUGUCGAGAAGAAGGAUGAUGUUUCUGUACCGAGAAGUGAGAGAGAACUAGAAUCUGACGGGAUAAAGCUUGGUACAUCUUUGUCAAGUUCUGUCUUAAUACCCGAUAAUGGGGUUGCCACACAAGAAACUGGAGAUGUACCUAGAUGCUCAUGCAAAGGUCAAAGUACCAGAAAGCUGGUUGUAUUUGAUUUGAACGGAAUCCUUGCAGACAUUGCUCGAGGGAACACAGGUAAAUGUGUUCCAGAUGGUAAAAUAUCUUUAAGAUCAGUUUUCAAGAGACCCUUUGUUGCUACUUUUCUUGACUUCUGCUUUGAGAAAUUUGAUGUUGGGAUAUGGUCUUCUAGACGCAUUGGAUUGAAUUAUAUGACGAACAUUGUCAUGGGACGUCAUGCGAAAAAUCUACUAUUUAGUUUCGAUCAAAGAAUAUGCAUUACAACAAAAUUCAAAACUCUGGGGAAUACCACUAAACCUCUGUUCCUUAAGAAUCUGAGAACAGUCUGGAAUCGUUUUGGGACAUGUCUCAGUUGUGGAAAAAGAAAGUAUGAUGAGACAAACACGUUGCUUGUUGACGAUUCACCUGACAAGGCCCUGUGUAAUCCUCCACACACUGGAAUCUUUCCUUUCCCUUACCAGUACACAGACCGUGAAGAUUCUGCAUUAGGGCCUGAUGGGGAGCUAAUGAAGUAUAUGGAAAGGUUAGUGGAUGCGGAGAACGUUCAGAAGUUUGUGGAGAAGAAUCCAAUGGGUCAAUCAGCAAUAACCGAGACGCAUGAAUCAUGGAGUUUCUACUCUAGGGUCAUCAAGGCACAUAAACGCUAAAUCAAUCCAGGGGAUUUUUGACCAACUCCUCAUUGUUUAUUUGCUUCUUGAGAGCUCACAACAAUAAGAAACAAAAGAAGCUAAUCAUGCAUAAUGACAGUGGAGCUAGAGAUACUGUAUGAUACAAAAAUAAAAUGUUGGGGGAGAUAUAACGUAGAAGAAAAGUCAAACUCUUCCUAGUUGGUGGUGACCUAACUACUAAAGCAUGCUUUUCCAUUGACAACUAUUUUCUUUGUUUAUUAGCAUGUGAUUCUGUUCUAAAACUUAAAUCUUAUAUUUAAUGUCUACCUAAACCCAUUUGAUUA